GAUGAACGCUGGCGGCGUGCCUAAUACAUGCAAGUCGAGCGAACAGACGAGGAGCUUGCUCCUCUGACGUUAGCGGCGGACGGGUGAGUAACACGUGGAUAACCUACCUAUAAGACUGGGAUAACUUCGGGAAACCGGAGCUAAUACCGGAUAAUAUAUUGAACCGCAUGGUUCAAUAGUGAAAGACGGUUUUGCUGUCACUUAUAGAUGGAUCCGCGCCGCAUUAGCUAGUUGGUAAGGUAACGGCUUACCAAGGCAACGAUGCGUAGCCGACCUGAGAGGGUGAUCGGCCACACUGGAACUGAGACACGGUCCAGACUCCUACGGGAGGCAGCAGUAGGGAAUCGUCCGCAAUGGGCGAAAGCCUGACGGAGCGACGCCGCGUGAGUGAUGAAGGUCUUCGGAUCGUAAAACUCUGUUAUUAGGGAAGAACAAAUGUGUAAGUAACUAUGCACGUCUUGACGGUACCUAAUCAGAAAGCCACGGCUAACUACGUG
rnacentral:rRNA from 1 species